GAUGAGACUAUAUAGUAUCAGCUAGUUGGUAAGGUAAUGGCUUACCAAGGCUAUGACGCUUAACUGGUCUGAGAGGAUGAUCAGUCACACUGGAACUGAGACACGGUCCAGACUCCUACGGGAGGCAGCAGUAGGGAAUAUUGCGCAAUGGGGGAAACCCUGACGCAGCAACGCCGCGUGGAGGAUGACACUUUUCGGAGCGUAAACUCCUUUUCUUAGGGAAGAAUUCUGACGGUACCUAAGGAAUAAGCACCGGCUAACUCCGUGCCAGCAGCCGCGGUAAUACGGAGGGUGCAAGCGUUACUCGGAAUCACUGGGCGUAAAGGGCGCGUAGGCGGAUUAUCAAGUCUCUUGUGAAAUCUAAUGGCUUAACCAUUAAACUGCUUGGGAAACUGAUAGUCUAGAGUGAGGGAGAGGCAGAUGGAAUUGGUGGUGUAGGGGUAAAAUCCGUAGAUAUCACCAAGAAUACCCAUUGCGAAGGCGAUCUGCUGGAACUCAACUGACGCUAAGGCGCGAAAGCGUGGGGAGCAAACAGGAUUAGAUACCCUGGUAGUCCACGCCCUAAACGAUGUACACUAGUUGUUGGGAUGCUAGUCAUCUCAGUAAUGCAGCUAACGCAUUAAGUGUACCGCCUGGGGAGUACGGUCGCAAGAUUAAAACUCAAAGGAAUAGACGGGGACCCGCACAAGCGGUGGAGCAUGUGGUUUAAUUCGAAGAUACGCGAAGAACCUUACCUGGGCUUGAUAUCCUAAGAACCUUAUAGAGAUAUGAGGGUGCUAGCUUGCUAGAACUUAGAGACAGGUGCUGCACGGCUGUCGUCAGCUCGUGUCGUGAGAUGUUGGGUUAAGUCCCGCAACGAGCGCAACCCACGUAUUUAGUUGCUAACGGUUCGGCCGAGCACUCUAAAUAGACUGCCUUCGUAAGGAGGAGGAAGGUGUGGACGACGUCAAGUCAUCAUGGCCCUUAUGCCCAGGGCGACACACGUGCUACAAUGGCAUAUACAAUGAGACGCAAUACCGCGAGGUGGAGCAAAUCUAUAAAAUAUGUCCCAGUUCGGAUUGUUCUCUGCAACUCGAGAGCAUGAAGCCGGAAUCGCUAGUAAUCGUAGAUCAGCCAUGCUACGGUGAAUACGUUCCCGGGUCUUGUACUCACCGCCCGUCACACCAUGGGAGUUGAUUUCACUCGAAGCCGGAAUACUAAACUAGUUACCGUCCACAGUGGAAUCAGCGACUGGGGUGAAGUCGUAACAAGGUAACCGUAGGAGAACCUGCGGUUGGAUCACCUCCUUU
rnacentral:rRNA from 1 species